rnacentral:tRNA from 1 species
UGCCCCCUCGUCCAAUGGCAGGACACCGGACUUUGGAUCCGGGAAUCCAGGUUCGAGCCCUGGGGGGGCAA